rnacentral:rRNA from 1 species
CCUACGGAGGGCAGCAGUGAGGAAUAUUGGUCAAUGGGCGGAAGCCUGAACCAGCCAAGUAGCGUGCAGGAUGACGGCCCUACGGGUUGUAAACUUCUUUUAUACGGGAAUAACGCGCCUUACGUGUAGUGCUUUGCAUGUACCUUAUGAAUAAGGACCGGCUAAUUCCGUGCCAGCAGCCGCGGUAAUACGGAAGGUCCGGGCGUUAUCCGGAUUUAUUGGGUUUAAAGGGAGCGUAGGCCGCGUGUCAAGUGUGCUGUGAAAUGUUCGGGCUCAACCCGGACCUUGCAGCGCGAACUGGCGUGCUUGAGUCCGCGAAAAGCAGGCGGAAUUCGUGGUGUAGCGGUGAAAUGCUUAGAUAUGACGAAGAACCCCGAUUGCGAAGGCAGCUUGCUGCAGCGGAACUGACGCUGAUGCUCGAAAGCGCGGGUAUCGAACAGGAUUACAUACCCUAGUAGUC